rnacentral:lncRNA from 1 species
GUUGCUUUAGGUUCUCUUCUAAGUGUUUUGAUUCUUCUUUUCGUUUGCUUCUAAGUUUCAUCAAUGUAGAGGCAUGCAUGCCCAUUUAAUCAUAUGUUAGAUUUUCUGGUUAGUGAUUUCUUUUCCACCAUAUGUCUUGGUUUUAAGAUUGAAUGACCUGCUUCUAAAUAGUUUGCUUAAUUCUAAAUUCAUGAGUGUCCCUUAAUAAGCAUGCUCUGAUAUUUCAUUUUUCUGGUCCCAAAAUCGAUUGUUAUCCAUGUGAUUCUGAAGGUAGUGAUAAUCUGUUCCAUCUUUGUUGCUGAGUAAUGUAAAGUCCAC